rnacentral:misc_RNA from 1 species
AUGCCAUUUUAAACUGAUCAAUUGUCUGGCCAGGCCCAGAUUGGGUCAGGAUUUUAUUGCCUAAAAAUUAGGGGCAUAACAUUUUGCCCACGUCCAAGUUAAUAAAAAUCUAAAAAAAAAAAUAUACAUGCUACUAGUCAGUCAAGAAGAGCCAGGGCUUUAAGGAAAAUUCUUUCUCAAGGCUAACAGGAUUUAGGGGCAGUCCUAACUCCUAUUAAGGGUUGGAUAAGUCCUAAACGGAAAUCUCUUUGCUCAAGUUAGGUCCUUUUUCAGUGUGGGCUGGGCAUGCUCCCAAGGCCAUUAACAGACUACUAACCAUCCACAUUUCUAAGCAUUACAACUAGUGUGGGGUUCAAAUCACUUUUAGUUCAACUGUAUCAACCAUUGACCCAUUGCUGCUUACGCCUUCACUCAUAUUAUUCUAGUCAUAGAAGACUCAAUAGAGAGCAGACACCGUAACUGCAAUGCAAUGUGACCACAAAAGAUCAGCAUCCUAACCAACACGUGUUAUACAUUUUAUGUUCAAAAAUCUUACAGAAAAGAGUCUUCCUACCACAUUGGUUUGUUUGGCAUUGUUGUUAAAGCUACCAUUGAGAAAAGCAGUUUUAUAAAUAUAAUAGCUUGAGAGGAUUAAAAAUUGAUUAAAAAGUAAAUUUGAUAUAUUUUAAUCACAUAAAAUGGUGCUUUUUUAAAAACUGCUUUAUUUUGACCUUGACACUGAAUGCCAAACAAGGCCGUAAAACAUAAAGGAACUUGAGUAUUUUUAAUACAGCCAGAAUGCUAUAACUAUAAACUUUUUACACAGAAAGCCAAGAUAGUCUCACAGACAUAGAAGCAGCCAGAAUGCAAAAGUAAAAUGUAUACUCUCUAACUAAUAUAUUUUAAUACUCUCGCAGACAUAGAAGCACACUCACAACUUUGCGUGUGUAUUGAUGUUGCAAAAUGAGGGAUACAGAUAAACACUAUUGCAUAUAUGUAGCGAUAUUGCAAACUGAUGUAGCAUCAGUCUCAUUAGCAUAUAAAGGUGUAAUAGAGAAAAUUAGUCGAGAGAUAUUUUAGGUAGUUAUGGUCAUCAGCUACAAAUUUGUGGCCACUUCUUAGAUUCCAAAUGUUGGCAGGAGACUACAGAAUAUUAGAUGAACAUAAUUACCUCCCAAUGGUCCAGCUAAACAAUCAUAUGAACAACUUUUUUUCGAUUUGAAA